rnacentral:rRNA from 1 species
GACGAACGCUGGCGGCGUGCUUAACACAUGCAAGUCGAACGAUGAAGCUGGAGCUUGCUCCGGUGGAUUAGUGGCGAACGGGUGAGUAACACGUGAGCAAUCUGCCCUUCACUCUGGGAUAACUGCGGGAAACUGUAGCUAAUACCGGAUACGAGGCUUGGAGGCAUCUACAGGUCUGGAAAGAAUUUCGGUGAAGGAUGAGCUCGCGGCCUAUCAGCUUGUUGGUGAGGUAAUGGCUCACCAAGGCGACGACGGGUAGCCGGCCUGAGAGGGUGACCGGCCACACGGGGACUGGUGCACGGCCCAGACUCCUACGGGAGGCAGCAGUGGGGAAUAUUGCACAAUGGGCGAAAGCCUGAUGCAGCAACGCCGCGUGAGGGAUGAAGGCCUUCGGUUUGUAAACCUCUUUUAGCAGGGAAGAAGCGAAAGUGACGGUACCUGCAGAAAAAGCACCGGCUAACUACGUGCCAGCCGCCGCCGUAA